UACGUAGGGUGCGAGCGUUAAUCGGAAUUACUGGGCGUAAAGCGUGCGCAGGCGGUUUGUUAAGACAGAUGUGAAAUCCCCGGGCUUAACCUGGGAACUGCAUUUGUGACUGGCAAGCUAGAGUAUGGCAGAGGGGGGUAGAAUUCCACGUGUAGCAGUGAAAUGCGUAGAGAUGUGGAGGAAUACCGAUGGCGAAGGCAGCCCCCUGGGUCAAAACUGACGCUCAUGCACGAAAGCGUGGGGAGCAAACAGG
rnacentral:rRNA from 1 species